UUCCGGCUACCCUCAUUAAGUAUUUGUGAAUACAGUCAUCCAUCAAGUUUAACGGAGGAAGGAAAACCAAUCUUACGGGAUGAAGAGAAAGCAAAUAAUGAAUCAGAUAAAAUAACAAAAGGCAUCGAUGUGGAACCUUCUUGGCUAACGAAUCUUCGCGAAUAUGUGGAAGAAGCUGUCAAAAAAUAUGGUUACAAAGACGCGAAGCCAUACAUACAAAAAUAUGUUGAAGAUUUAGAAAGAAAUUCCAGCUUACUACUACACGUAAAAGGCAA